rnacentral:rRNA from 1 species
GCACCACAAGGGGUGAAGCCUGCGGUUCAAUUGGACUCAACGCCGGGAAACUUACCAGGGGAGACAGCAGUAUGACGGUCAGGUUGACGACCUUACCCGACGAGCUGAGAGGAGGUGCAUGGCCGUCGUCAGCUCGUGCCGUGAGGUGUCCUGUUAAGUCAGGCAACGAGCGAGACCCGGGCCAACAGUUACCAGCGGGCCCCAUUGGGGCGCCGGGAACACUGUUGGGACUGCCACAGAGGAAUGUGGAUGAAGGACCGGGCCACGGCAGGUCAGUAUGCCCCGAUAGUCCAGGGCUACACGCGGGCUACAAUGGUGCGGACAGUGGGUAACCAACCCCGAAAGGGGCCGGUAAUCUCUAAACCGCAUCGCAGUUGGGAUUGAGGGCUGCAACUCGCCCUCAUGAACUUGGAAUCCCUAGUAACGGCGCGUCAACAUCACGCCGUGAAUACGUCCCUGC